rnacentral:rRNA from 1 species
GAUGAACGCUGGCGGCGUGCCUAAUACAUGCAAGUCGAGCGAACAGAUGAGGAGCUUGCUCCUCUGACGUUAGCGGCGGACGGGUGAGUAACACGUGGAUAACCUACCUAUAAGACUGGGAUAACUUCGGGAAACCGGAGCUAAUACCGGAUAAUAUAUUGAACCGCAUGGUUCAAUAGUGAAAGACGGUUUUGCUGUCACUUAUAGAUGGAUCCGCGCCGCAUUAGCUAGUUGGUAAGGUAACGGCUUACCAAGGCAACGAUGCGUAGCCGACCUGAGAGGGUGAUCGGCCACACUGGAACUGAGACACGGUCCAGACUCCUACGGGAGGCAGCAGUAGGGAAUCUUCCGCAAUGGGCGAAAGCCUGACGGAGCAACGCCGCGUAGUGAUGAAGGUCUUCGGAUCGUAAAACUCUGUUAUUAGGGAAGAACAAAUGUGUAAGUAACUAUGCACGUCUUGACGGUACCUAAUCAGAAAGCCACGGCUAACUACGUG